GAGAGUUUCGGGUCGUGACAGCAAACAUUUUUGCUUUAAAAAAUAAUGCAUAAAACUGCGUCUUUGACCGUCUUUCUCACUAGUAUUAAUUAUAAGAGAAGACAUUGGGUUAUAUGGCAAGUGUUGUCAAUUGGACAGACACGUAAUUGGCAUUUGGUAGAUCUCCCUCCCAACGUGUCACUGUGCUAAGUCUAUAUGGGCCUUCUGCCUUCCAGUUUGAUUAGUCUGGGAAAUAUGUUAAGCACAAUGUUUCAUUUGAAUUAUAUGAUGGUUGUUAUGUACAAACCCGAUUUGAUGGCCAAUGUAUGGCCUUAUGAAUAUUUGUAUGAAUUAAGUGCCAGGGAUAAUGUAUUAUAUUUGAAUUUGUUAUGAAUAUUUGACUAUUUAAUCUA